UUCAAAAUGGGUUUCAAAGGAUGAAUUUUGAGAUUUUAUGUUUUCAAGUGAUAUAUAAUUUCUGAUGUUUUCUAAAGUGUGAUAGAGAAAAAGGCAACAAGGAAGACUUUUUUGACGAAGUCUCCAGUGGGGCAUGCAGCUGUCGUGGGGUCCUCGUGUUAUCAGCAGCAGAGUUGUAAGUGCAUUUGAUAGCACUGGCUCAAAACCAUAAAACUAUUUUUAACCUGUUACUUAAAUAUUUUACAUUUACCACUGGUUUUUAAACUUAUUCUAACAUGCAUAUUUUUUCUGGUCUUUAGGUAACCAAGCGUUUUUGUUACCUGGGGUCUUCAGACGUCAGAUACAGGAUCCGUCUGGCUAUGUGGAGAAAAGGAGAGAAGUGGUACUGAGAUGCCUGAUUGAGUACAUGUGGGAGGGAAAGGAAGACCUCAUCAGUGUCCACCAUAGUCAUGAUGAAACAGAGGUGCACGCUGAGCUUGGCAGUUUCCCACUGAAAAUAUACACGUGCCAUCAGCCAAACACGAUUGGGAUUAUCACAGUAGAAGGACAGCCCAUGGUCAGAGGUGUGCCAAACCUGUAGAAAACCUCCUGUUUGGACUUGUCUAUGCCCACAACCUCUAAUAUCACUCAAAUCUGGUGUAUACUUCUGAGAUAUAUCAGAGGCUCUUUGUGGGAUUGGACCCUAUGCAUACAUUUGUAUGUUUUGUAGGCACUGUUAAAAGUGACACUAGUUGACAUUGAAUAAAUGUUAUUGUCUUUAAUCUGUCUUCCCAUCUUUUUCUUCUUCAAUUGAAUUUGU